rnacentral:rRNA from 1 species
CAGCAGCCACGGUAAUACGUAGGUGGCAAGCGUUGUCCGGAAUUAUUGGGCGUAAAGGGCUCGCAGGCGGUUUCUUAAGUCUGAUGUGAGAGCCCCCGGCUCAACCGGGGAGGGUCAUUGGAAACUGGGAAACUUGAGUGCAGAAGAGGAGAGUGGAAUUCCACGUGUAGCGGUGAAAUGCGUAGAGAUGUGGAGGAACACCAGUGGCGAAGGCGACUCUCUGGUCUGUAACUGACGCUGAGGAGCGAAAGCGUGGGGAGCGAACAGGAUUAGAUACCCCGGUAGUCCCUGUCUCUUAUAC